CCUACGGGUGGCAGCAGUGGGGAAUAUUGGACAAUGGGGGAAACCCUGAUCCAGCGACGCCGCGUGAGUGAAGAAGGAUUUCGGUACGUAAAGCUCUAUCAGCAGGAAAGAAAAUGACGGUACCUGACUAAGAAGCCCCGGCUAACUACGUGCCAGCAGCCGCGGGAAUACGUAGGGGGCAAGCGUUAUCCGGAUUGACUGGGUGUUAAGGGGGCGUAGGCGGCCGCGCAAGUCUGGAGUGAAAUGCCGGGGCGCAACCCCGGAACUGCUCUGGAAACUGUGAGGCUGGAGUGCAGGAGAGGUAAGCGGAAUGCCUGGUGUAGCGGUGAAAUGCGUAGAGAUCAGGAGGAACACCGGCGGCGAAGGCGGCUUACUGGACUAUAACUGACGUUGAGGCUCGAAAGCGUGGGGAGCAAACAGGAUUAGAUACCCGGGUAGUC
rnacentral:rRNA from 1 species